rnacentral:rRNA from 1 species
GAUGAACGCUGGCGGCGUGCUUAACACAUGCAAGUCGAACGAUGAAGCCCAGCUUGCUGGGUGGAUUAGUGGCGAACGGGUGAGUAACACGUGAGUAACCUGCCCUUGACUCUAGGAUAAGCCCGGGAAACUGGGUCUAAUACUGGAUAGGAACGUCUACCGCAUGGUGGGUGUUGGAAAGAAUUUCGGUCAUGGAUGGACUCGCGGCCUAUCAGCUUGUUGGUGAGGUAAUGGCUCACCAAGGCGACGACGGGUAGCCGGCCUGAGAGGGUGACCGGCCACACUGGGACUGAGACACGUCCCAGACUCCUACGGGAGGCAGCAGUGGGGAAUAUUGCACAAUGGGCGAAAGCCUGAUGCAGCGACGCCGCGUGAGGGAUGACGGCCUUCGGGUUGUAAACCUCUUUCAGUAGGGAAGAAGCGAAAGUGACGGUACCUGCAGAAGAAGCACCGGCUAACUACGUG